rnacentral:lncRNA from 1 species
CUUUCUGAGAACCUGUGCUUUAAUGAGUAAACUCACACAGCUGCAACAAAUGCUGCCACCUCCUGGCAUCUUUUAAAAAGGCUGGAGUGCAGUGGCAUGAUCUCGGCUCACUGCAACCUCCGCCUCCCGGGUUCAAGUGAUUCUCCUGCCUCAGCCUCCCAAAUAGCUGUGAUUACAGGGAACCCGUUGUUGCUCAGACACCCGAUGUGGAAAUUUUUCUUCUCCCUCAGUUCAAAUGAGAUAAAGAUCCUCCUCUCCUCACAGUGAACAUGAGGUCACAGUGUCCAUGUAACUAACUCCUGGUUAAGAGGAUAUGGAUAGAAGGCACAUGUUCAACUUCUGGCUUCUGUCCUUGAAAAGUGUGAUGAUUCCAUCCUUUGCUGUCUUCCUUCCCGCUGACUGGAAUGUGGACUUGGUAGUGAGCUACCUUGGACUAUGUGGAUGAAGACAAAGAUAAAAGGAACCAAGGACUCUGAUGAUUCUGUAGAGAAGAGGAACCGUAGCUGCUCAAACGUUCAUGUGAAAGAAGAAUAAACUAUCAGAUUU